rnacentral:hammerhead_ribozyme from 1 species
UCACUGCUGAUGAGUCCCACAAUAGGACGAAACGGCCGUCCAGUGC